rnacentral:rRNA from 1 species
UGGGGAAUUUUGGACAAUGGGGGCAACCCUGAUCCAGCCAUGCCGCGUGUGUGAAGAAGGCCUUCGGGUUGUAAAGCACUUUUGGCGGGAACGAAACGGUCUGUGCUAAUACCACGGACUAAUGACGGUACCCGCAGAAUAAGCACCGGCUAACUACGUGCCAGCAGCCGCGGUAAUACGUAGGGUGCAAGCGUUAAUCGGAAUUACUGGGCGUAAAGCGUGCGCAGGCGGUUUCGCAAGUCAGAUGUGAAAUCCCCGGGCUCAACCUGGGAACUGCAUUUGAAACUACGAGGCUUGAGUGUAGCAGAGGGGGGUGGAAUUCCACGUGUAGCAGUGAAAUGCGUAGAGAUGUGGAGGAACACCGAUGGCGAAGGCAGCCCCCUGGGCUAACACUGACGCUCAUGCACGAAAGCGUGGGGAGCAAACA